rnacentral:lncRNA from 1 species
GGAAAAGAAUACAGAUGGGCUAAAAUUUCGGCCCAGUAACUAAAACUCCAAAUCUCUUAUUCUUAGUGGGCUUAAAACAAUAAAGAAAUAGAGAAAAGACCCAUUAAAAAUAGAUGGGCUUUAUUCAAAAUAAAAAUAAAAAUAAAAAUAAAAAAAUGCUUUUGAUUUUUAGCAAAUAAAAAAUUCUAAAAUAAAUAAAAGUUCCGCGUCGAUAUUUUCUCAAUAACAC